AUGUAAUCUGACAUCUAUUUUUAUUUUAUUUUUUACAGAAAUUCUGAGCUGCUGCAUGAAUUUAUGCAUGAACAUUCAUCAAACAUAUAAGGCUGCAAUUUGGAAAAACUUUCAAGCUAAUGCUGCUGAAAUGGAUGUCAAGGGGACUAUGAAGAGGUGGCUCCAGCUGGCAGAUCAAAAGGGUGGACUUCGGGAGGCAGACACACUGUUAAACGUAUUUAGCUGAUCCAGUCCGUAUCCAGACCAGACGGUCGACCUGCAACCAGAAAUGACCACAACACACAUCCCUGACUGUCAGCGGAGACCAUGUCAGCUAGAUGACAGAUUCCUAUGAAGACCUCAUUGAUGGCCCCAGCACAGAUCCUCAGCAAAGACUACGAGAACCAGACCCUCUGCACAGACCCUUUUUACCAGAUUCACCUGCUAGCGUGAUGUUUCUUCAAGCAGAAGUUGGAUGAAAUAUUCUGAAUGAUAUCAAUCCACAAUCUGACUUGUGAUGCACCCUGGAAUAAUCACAUCACGUUCAUUCAUUUGGCCAGACGAGACCGUUUCCUGACUGAGCCUGGUCUUGUUUGGGUUCCU